rnacentral:rRNA from 1 species
AAGGUCUUCGGAUUGUAAACUUCUGUUAAGUGGGAAGAAAGAACCGAUUUUAAUAAAAUCGGGUGAUGACGGUACCAUUAGAGAAAGCACCGGCUAAACUCGUGC